CAGCCCCAGGAUCCCCAGGUGUUCUCAUUCUCUGAUCAGGACUGAACACAGACCACUCACUAUGGGGUUGGGGCUCAGCUGGGUUUUCCUUGUUGCUAUUUUAAGAGGUGUACAGUGCGAUGUGCAGCUGGUGGAGUCUGGGGGAGAUUUGGUGCAGCCUGGGGGGUCUCUGAGACUCUCCUGUGCAGCCUCUGGAUUCACCUUCAGUAGCUACUGGAUGCACUGGGUCCGCCAGGCUCCAGGGGAGGGGCUGGAGUGGGUCUCACUCAUUAAUCCUGAUGGAAGUACCACAUACUAUGCAGACUCUGUGAAGGGCCGAUUCACCAUCUCCAGAGACAAUGCCAAGAACACGCUGUAUCUGCAAAUGAACAGCCUGAGAGCAGAGGACACGGCCUUGUAUUACUGUUCAACAAACACAGUGAGGGAAAGUCAGUGUGAGCCCAGACACAAACCUCCCUGCAGCAGAAGCUGUGACCACCAGGGGGCGCUCAGGGUCCAUGAACCCAAGGACCAUCCCAGCAGCAGGAGCA